AACGAACGCUGGCGGCAUGCCUAACACAUGCAAGUCGAACGAGAUCCUUCGGGGUCUAGUGGCGCACGGGUGCGUAACGCGUGGGAAUCUGCCCUUAGGUUCGGAAUAACAGUUAGAAAUGACUGCUAAUACCGGAUGAUGACGUUAAGUCCAAAGAUUUAUCGCCUGAGGAUGAGCCCGCGUAGGAUUAGCUAGUUGGUGUGGUAAAGGCGCACCAAGGCGACGAUACUUAGCUGGUCUGAGAGGAUGAUCAGCGACACUGGGACUGGGACACAGCCCAGACUCCUACGGGAGGCAGCAGUGGGGGAUAUUGGACAAUCGGCGCAAUCAUGAUCCAGCAAUGCCGCGUGAGUGAUGAAGGCGGUAGAGUUGUAAAGCUCUUUUACCCGGGAUGAUAAUGACGGUACCGGGAGAAUAAGCCCCGGCUAACUCCGUG
rnacentral:rRNA from 1 species